CGAGCCGGGUCGUCGCCAUAGCAAUGGGGAGCCGCCCCCUGUCCGGCCUAGGGACUCGGUCCACCUGAGGCCUGAGGCGGGAGCGGUGAGGAGCGGAGGCCGCGAGGGCCUGCGGGCGGGAAGGGCGCUCCAGGAGCCGGGGAGAACCGGAGGAUUAGGUGGUGAGGGAAGCCAUUCCCGGGGGUCUCACAGCCCGCCCUGGGGCUGCGGACCUUCUCGGGGUUCGGAGCCCCCGGGCUUCUGCUGAACCUAACCGCCCCGAAGCGCUUUACUGUGCGCGGCCCGCAGGCACUGCCUCCGAUCUUGGAGCCAGCCCCCUCGAAGGAAGCGAUUGCAGGCCACCGCUCAAAAGUUUCUGGCAAUGUCUGAGAGAAGAGAAGAUUCUCUCUCGUACUUUUGGAAGACAAGAAGUCUUUCGAAGAUGCUGGGGGUGGCCCAGAAGGCGGGCGGAGAAUGCUGAGGGCACCAGAUCCUGUGAAAUCUCCCUCAAAUCCAUCCUUUCAGCCAACCCCCAUUGCCACUACCUUCGUUUGGACACUCGCUACAUCUCCUGUGGACCAUUGCCUGACAGGGGGCACCCGCCGCCCCACGCCACGGUCCAAUCCUGUUGGGAUUGAGGGAAAGAUUGGGUGGCUCCUCUUCGGCGGACCCAGCGGUAAUGCCACCCUUCGCCAGUAGGUGCCGCCAUCUAACAUACCAUCCUCCAGCCCUGGGCAAACGCCGGAAAGCAGACCCUCGGGAGCCAACACAAGGAGCCCAGUGCCUCACACAAAUUUGCAAAUGUGUACACGUCUGGGAUGGAGAAGAAGGAGGAGGUCAGGGACGUGGCCGGCAUUGACAAUGGCCCUGGGGCCAGGCUCUGGACUGGCAGGAUCCUGUGGCGCGGGCUUGGAAAGAAUUAGUCCUGGAGGCCUGGGCUUCUUGCCUGUGUAGCCAGGAUGUCACACUGGGCUGGGGAGCCCGUGGGGGCAGCAAGAACAGCUACUUCCAGCUCGGCGCUGGGCGCCUCAGGAGUGCUCAGGAGAGCCAGCCCCGUCCCAAGCCCCGAUGAUGAGUCUGGCUUUCUCUCUCCUAUCCACAGCCCUUGGAAGCCAACCUAACGAGCACCAUUAAAGUUAAUGAAACUCAAUGAGUCCUCCGUUUGCUUAGUUACAGCUCUUUACAAGAUUGUUCCCUCUUGCUGAGGAGAUUCAUUUGAGCUGCCAGGACUCAGCCUUUGUACCCCUAAUUUUUACCGGCCCAUUAAUGAGAUCAGAUGCUCUGGGCUGACCAGGAAUAUCUGGUACUGUGGUCCCAACAAGCCACAUUGGGUCAAGUCUCAGGUGGCCUGUUGAUUCCAAAUUAGCCUAAAAACAGCCCCUGUUGCCUUUACUCUCUUUUUGCUUCCCCACCUCCAAACCCAGUUUUAUAGUAGGUACAGUCGGGAUAUGGGAAGGCUUCAGAAGUUAGGGAGAUGCUUUCCCAGCCCCGUUAGAGUGUGUCUCAACCCACUGAUGGAGUAGUUUCCCUAGUAAGAACUCCAGUUCCUUUGGG